rnacentral:rRNA from 1 species
UCGCAGAUCAGAAUGCUGCGGUGAAUACGUUCCCGGGUCUUGUACACACCGCCCGUCACACCAUGGGAGUCGGGAAUGCCCGAAGUCAGUGACCCAACCGCAAGGAGGGAGCUGCCGAAGGCAGGCUCGAUAACUGGGGUGAAGUCGUAACAAGGUAUC